AACACUGUUAACCUGCGGUACCUGCGGAAGGAUCAUUACAGAGUUGCAAAACUCCCUGAACCAUUGUGAACGUUACCUAAACCGUUGCUUCGGCGGGCGGCCCGGGUCCUUCCCGGCGCCCCUCGGCCCUCGCGGGCGCCCGCCGGAGGUAAACCAAACUAUUGCAUUGUAUGGCCUCUCUGAGUCUUCUGUACUGAAUAAGUCAAAACUUUUAACAAUGGAUCUCAGAUCGGAAGAGCA
rnacentral:misc_RNA from 1 species